rnacentral:rRNA from 1 species
CCUACGGGAGGCUGCAGUGGGGAAUAUUGGACAAUGGGGGCAACCCUGAUCCAGCCAUGCCGCGUGUGUGAAGAAGGCCCUCGGGUUGUAAAGCACUUUCAGUGAGGAAGAACGCCUGGUGGUUAAUACCCAUCAGGAAAGACAUCACUCACAGAAGAAGCACCGGCUAACUCCGUGCCAGCAGCCGCGGUAAUACGGAGGGUGCGAGCGUUAAUCGGAAUUACUGGGCGUAAAGCGCGCGUAGGUGGCUUGAUAAGCCGGUUGUGAAAGCCCCGGGCUCAACCUGGGAACGGCAUCCGGAACUGUCAAGCUAGAGUGCAGGAGAGGAAGGUGGAAUUCCCGGUGUAGCGGUGAAAUGCGUAGAGAUCGGGAGGAAUACCAGUGGCGAAGGCGGCCUUCUGGACUGACACUGACACUGAGGUGCGAAAGCGUGGGUAGCAAACAGGAUUAGAUACCCUAGUAGUC